GACGAACGCUGGCGGCGUGCCUAAUACAUGCAGGUAGAACGCUGAAGGAGGAGCUUGCUUCUCUGGAUGAGUUGCGAACGGGUGAGUAACGCGUAGGUAACCUGCCUGGUAGCGGGGGAUAACUAUUGGAAACGAUAGCUAAUACCGCAUAAUAUUGACUAUUGCAUGAUAGUCAGUUGAAAGGUGCAACUGCACCACUACCAGAUGGACCUGCGUUGUAUUAGCUAGUUGGUGGGGUAACGGCUCACCAAGGCGACGAUACAUAGCCGACCUGAGAGGGUGAUCGGCCACACUGGGACUGAGACACGGCCCAGACUCCUACGGGAGGCAGCAGUAGGGAAUCUUCGGCAAUGGACGGAAGUCUGACCGAGCAACGCCGCGUGAGUGAAGAAGGGUUUCGGAUCGUAAAGCUCUGUUGUAAGAGAAGAACGAGUGUGAGAGUGGAAAGCUCACACUGUGACGGUAGCUUACCAGAAAGGGACGGCUAACUACGUG
rnacentral:rRNA from 1 species